UAACGCGAAGAACCUUACCAGGUCUUGACAUCUUCUGAUAGCCUAAGAGAUUAGGUGUUCCCUUCGGGGACAGAAUGACAGGUGGUGCAUGGUUGUCGUCAGCUCGUGUCGUGAGAUGUUGGGUUAAGUCCCGCAACGAGCGCAACCCUUAUUGUCAGUUGCCAGCAUUAAGUUGGGCACUCUGGCAAGACUGCCGGUGACAAACCGGAGGAAGGUGGGGAUGACGUCAAGUCAUCAUGCCCCUUAUGACCUGGGCUACACACGUGCUACAAUGGACGAUACAACGAGUCGCUAGACCGCGAGGUUAAGCUAAUCUCUGAAAGUCGUUCUCAGUUCGGAUUGCAGGCUGCAACUCGCCUGCAUGAAGUCGGAAUCGCUAGUAGUCGCGGAUCAGC
rnacentral:rRNA from 1 species